rnacentral:rRNA from 1 species
GUGGGGAAUAUUGGACAAUGGGGGGAACCCUGAUCCAGCCAUGCCGCGUGUGUGAAGAAGGCCUUUUGGUUGUAAAGCACUUUAAGCGAGGAGGAGGCUACCGAGAUUAAUACUCUUGGAUAGUGGACGUUACUCGCAGAAUAAGCACCGGCUAACUCUGUGCCAGCAGCCGCGGUAAUACAGAGGGUGCAAGCGUUAAUCGGAUUUACUGGGCGUAAAGCGCGCGUAGGUGACCAAUUAAGUCAAAUGUGAAAUCCCCGAGCUUAACUUGGGAAUUGCAUUCGAUACUGGUUGGCUAGAGUAUGGGAGAGGAUGGUAGAAUUCCAGGUGUAGCGGUGAAAUGCGUAGAGAUCUGGAGGAAUACCGAUGGCGAAGGCAGCCAUCUGGCCUAAUACUGACACUGAGGUGCGAAAGCAUGGGGAGCAAACAGGAUUAGAAACCCGUGUAGUCC